GUUUACCUUGUCAGUAAAUUCGAGGAAAAGUUCGAAGAGAUAAAUACUGUUGAGGAACCAUCCACAAUGCCUUCAACAUCAGGUUUCAUUGAGAAUGAAACUGCAACAUUGCCUGUUGAUGAUGGCGGAGGAGUUGGUGUUGGGGUGUUGGAACAAGAAAAUCAAAGAGAGUGUCCAGAUGCUGGUACUUCCCAGGACUUUGUGAGUGGAAUUACGAAGAUUAUUCU
rnacentral:misc_RNA from 1 species